CACCACCCACUCCAUGUCAGAUGACAUCAGCACACGCUCUAUGAAGGAUGACAUCAUCACCAGAUCCAUAUGUGAUGAUGACACAACCAGCACCAAGUCUGGUGACAUCACUACCCAUCCAGGUCAGAUGAUGUCACCACCCCCUACAUCCCAAGGACAUCAGAGAACACACCUAUGAGGCCCGUGACGUAGCCUUGCUCCUUCAGGAUUUUUGCAAACGUGAUCUCCUCUGCAGGAAGGCCACCAGAGCCUGCGGCCCACUGGAGGACACGGUGGCCAUUACCGGAAGUCAUGCCUGCACCGGAAGGACGAUAAAUCUGGAGAGUGUACACACAGUAGGACAUGGAGCACACAAUAGGAUUCCCCUAGAGCUGCCUCCCACAGCUCCCAGCAUGCCCCUGGUUCUGCCUUUCACAGAGGACCUCAGGAGUCCAGAAUAGAGGGAGGAAGCUACCUCAUCAGUGGCACAUAGUGGGGGGGAGUGACGUCAGCAGUGGGGUCAUACAUGGAUGGAAUCAUAGGUCCGUGGGAGGGACUUAGGAAUGGGGCUUAAUGAGAGGAAGUGACAUCAUUAGAUAUUGGACUAAGUAACAAUCUGUGGCAUUACAGAGGAAGUGAUGUCAACAGUGAAAUCUAGUGGGAGGAAGUGACCUCACCAAGAGGAUCAUCCAUGGAUAUAGUAAUCGGUCAGUAGGGGGAUUUAGGAGCCAGGCCUAGGGGAGGAAGUGACAUCAUCAGUGUGAUCAUCCAUGGAUGUAAUCAUCACUCAGUGGGCUGUGGGUGGGCACUUAGGAGUGGGGCCUAAUGGGGAAGUGACGUCAUCAGUGGGAUUAUCCAAGGCUGGAGUCAUAGGUCAGUGGGAGGGAUUUAGGAAUGGGGCCAGUGGAAGGAACAUGCCUAUCUGGAGGAAGUUGUGUCAUCAGUGAGGUCUAGUGGAAGGAGUGACAUCAUCAGAAGUCCAUGGAGUCAUUGCUCGGUGGGCCAUUGUGGGGGACGUACGGGUGGGACAGAGCAGAGGAAGUGAUAUCAGGGGCAUGUGGGCCCACCCACCUAUGCGGAUGGGGUACCUCCCGGUGAGGAAAGCUGCCCGGCUGGGCGUGCACACAGCUUCAGCCGCCAGGUGCUGAGUGAGUCUCACACCACCUUCUGCAAGUCGGUCGAUGUUCGGGGUCCUGGUGGGGAGGGGCGGGAGCAUGGAUCAUGGAGUGGGGGGGCCAACACACCCUCGUGACACUGGCACACCCACGUGACCCCAAUGUCAGCCUCACUGGGCAAGGUUGGCCUGGUGAGGCUCACUUCACUAUCUGGCCCUAGGCAUCAUGGGAAAUCCUGAACUGACACCCUGGGUGAAUCAGGGUCAAGCACUGGCAUCAUGGGAAGGGCAGAUCCUGAUGCAUUAUGGGUACCAUUGCGAGGAGUAUUUUGGGUCUCCUGGUCGUCUGCCAGGAGCAGGAGGAAGUUGGGUCGAGACUGUGAUGUGUCCAGGCACGUGACAGGGUCCAGGCUGAGGAAGACACCCAGUAGGGCAGCAAGGCAAUUCCUGAAACACAUGUGAUAUGUCAUCCAUCGAUCCUGCUUCUUCUAUCCCUGUCUCUGAGGCAGGGAGCGUGCAUGUCAUCACUGCAGUGCAAGCUGGGUAGCUACAUGUGGGUCCAGGGAUCCAGUGGAGACUUCUGGCCACCAUGGAUGUGUACAGGAUUAAUUUUCAAAUAAUUAUAAACUGUCAAUUAAGUUUCCACAAGGA